CAACAACUUCUGCAGUCAGAUUGGAGAUGAUCGACCAAUCAGCUUCUGUCACUUCAGCCCCGACUCCAAAAUGUUGGCCACAGCGUCCUGGAGCGGUCUUUGUAAGCUGUGGUCCGUCCCUGACUGCAACCUGAUUCGUACACUCAGAGGACACAACACCAACGUGGGCGCUGUCGUCUUCCGCCCGCAGGCUGGAGUCUCUCUCGACCAAUCAGACGUCAGCUUGGCCUCCUGCGCUGCCGACGGGUCUGUGAAGCUGUGGAGCCUAGACAGGUAGGACAUAUGGGGACAUGAGGACACACAGGGACAUGAGGAUACACGGGAACAUGAGGACACACUGGGAUUUGAGGACACUCUGGGACAGGUAGUACACAUGGGGACAUGUAGGACACACUGGGACAUGAGGACACAUGGGCACAGGUAGGAUACACUGGGACACUGGGGGACAGGUAGGACACACUGGGACACUGGGGGACAGGUAGGACACAUGGGGACAUGAGGACAUUGUGUGUCUCCUGACUGUAUGUGUCCUCAGAGCAGGGACAGCACAGGGUCCAGGGGAACAGUCACUUCUAAAAUGUUCUCAGUUUCUUACCCUUUUCCAGAACCCUUGAGUUACAGGACAGUCCCUAAAGACAUGUGUGUCCCUAAAGACAUGUGUG